GAACUACCUUGCUUGAAUAUACAAGAACAUAAUCUACUCUUAGCGAAGCAGAACUAUUCUUCCUCCAUAUCUUUCUGGAUAUCUUUACACAAUACCGACAAAUGGUGAAAUUUAUAUUUUUUCAGUUCCGCCUUUUGUUCAGAAAGAUGACUAUAUUUUCUACUUCCUUCUGUAAUUCUUCCACUUUGUGAUGAACUACCAGUCUUCUGGAUGGAAUCCAUGAUAAUUACAAUGGUGGUAACUUCAGCCAACUACUUAGUGAAUUCAAAAAGAAACUCGAACAAUACAAAAUCCUAGAAUGAGAGAAUGAGAGAACCUCUUCUUUAGUACCUGCUUGUAAGUCAGGAGAGUGCCAUGAGAACUUCAUAUAAGAAAACUGCCUACUGAAUAUGUCUUAUCUCAGUUUAAUUUCUCCAAGUAUUUUGGGUUUCUAAUACCACAACAGGACUGGACCUCAUUCCUAAGUCAGGGUAUGCAUAGAGUUCACAAAAUUAGUAUUGUUUCAGUCUAUGAUGUUAGCCAAGUGUGCUGUUCUCAGCACCUGCAAUGUGCCUAGAAUUGCCCCCUUCUGUAAUACAUAUGGGGUUACAUGUACUGGUAGCAUAUCUAAGUACAACUAUAAAUUCUUUUUUAUUAGACUUGUUGCUCCUACUACUACUAAGUGAACUGUCUGGAUAUCUUCCUUCUGCAUUACUGUCUUUGGACUUGCUGAAUGAAUGGAAGACGGUCACUGAAAGACAGGUUUUGAAUAUUCAAUGUUCUUAUAAGGCACAAUGAAAUUUUAAUGCUGAAGUGCAUUAAUUGAUCUAGAGAGUUUCAUUGGGACAGCCUCUUUCUUUGACCUUCAGACGAAAAAGCCAAAAAAUAAAAAAAUUCAAGCUUUCUCUUUUGUUGAAAAGCACAGACAAUGUUACAAAAGCAGAAAUUGAAGACAUUCACCAGGGGUAAGAAUGACUAUAAGCACAUCUUUACAAGUCUGAAAUGUGCCAAUCCAACAUGGACAGCAAUUCCAAACAAGUAAAUCUUCAGACAACAGAAUAGAGUCAGGUCAAACAGAUUUACAGCCUCCCACCACUAGUCUUCUUGGUUGACCAUUCUGUACUGAAAUUCUCCACCAUGUCGAGGUGCUGCAGAAACCCAGUGUUCAUCCAACCAGCAGACAGAGAAAGUUUUCUACUAGUCUAUAACACACAUUGCAGCCAGAUACAAAAAUUAGUAGCUCACAGCUUUCCUGUCUAAAUUCUCAGCUCCAAGCAGGAACCCGAAGCACCAGAAAGGGGACAACUCCCAGAACUAGCAGCCAUACUACCAAAUCUGUGGCCUGGUAACAAAUAUGAGAUCAUUAGCUUAAGCAUCAAAAGCAUCACUGAGCAUGAGGAUAGUGUCCCUCAAAAGGUUUCACUUUUAUACUCAGCAAACAGCAAGCCUUGUUAACACAUGUGAUCACUGUCUGGAACUUGAAUAUAAGAAUGGAAUUCUAUAGACCUUCAACAACUCCCCAAAAAGAAUAAGAGCAAACAGUUUCACCCCCAUGCAUCAUGUCUUAUCUGCCUUUAAAAGAAUGUGCAAAAAAUAUGCCUCUUUUCCAAGCUAUUUCCAAACAAGUCUACAUUUUUACUCACCAAGGAGAUCAUAGUAUUAAACCAUUUAAGAAUGAUACCAGCAUUAGAUGCUUGAAACUUGGUGAGAGUGGCUGUUCAUUCAUUAUUAACAUGGCUGGCUGUGAACAUAGAAUGUUAGUCAUCCUCAUAUUCAAGAAUUUACAAAUGCACAGCAGCUGAUGGUGUAUUCAGAAUCCUAUCAGUGUAUUAGUCACUGAGGAAUCUGUUUGCCACAUUUCUAAUAACACUGGAAAUUAUUCUAAGUUGACCGCCUGUGUCCCAGCCAUUUGUAGAGUAUCCAGAUUUCACCAGUAUAGAGACAGUCCCCCUAUAUAUCCCAUAGUGAAAAUUGUGGAUUCUAGACCUGAACCCAUGGCUAUUUACUUAGGCAAGCUCAAAACCAUUGUCAGUGAAACCAUGUGAUUUAUCAUUGACACUACUGAUAUCAUCAGUAAGAUAGAUACAUUUCUAGUCCAUGUUGACCAUCUACAGAUCACUGUGAUGUUGAGUCCUUUUUAUGUUCUCCAUGUAGUGAAAGUAUGGCAGCCAUGAGACAGGCUUUAUGUAAAUGGAGAAAUUCCUCUAAUAGUAAAGUAAACAGCAUCUGCUUCCUCUUGGAACUAGUAUUCAGUAACAAUUUCUUUGUCUCCAGCUGCUAGGUGUAUAAACAUGUAAGUGGUACAUUCACGGGUCAACCAUGUACCUUCAUCUUUUACAACAUGGUCCUGGUUAAAUGGGAGUCGCAUACAAUUGAGAAUCAGAGGUUGUUUGUGGUUGUUCAGGAUGGUGGCAAAUGGCUGCCAGUGAGCAAAAUGCUAUUUUAUAAUUCUGGUUAAUAAGUUACUUUCUAUCUGAAUUCUGAAGAAUGAUUGUAUUUUGCUGGCUAAUACUUUUAAGUAGCUAUUGUGAGAACUUGUGCAUGGGCCAUAUUGCUGUUGAGCACCAGGUAAAUACCUACAGGGACACAAGGAGAGAAUGCAGUAUGUGUGCAAAAUGUACCCCAACUCAAACUCACUUGAGAAAACAAGAUGAUGUUUUUUAUUUUGUGCCCAUCAUGGGGACCUGGAGUAGACUUAUGUAGGUUUUGCAUUUUUUCUACUAAUGUUAACAAUUACCACUUUUAUUCCAAAGAUUGCCCAUGUUUCUUUGAACUGGACUACUGAUAAAUGAACUAUUACAAGGUUCCUGCAGGUGGUUUGCAAUCAUACAAUGCAACAACAUGACUGUCUUUGCUUAUGCUAUGCUGCUGAGUUCAACAUUCAGUUCCAUUCCCUUGCAUUUCUUCAUUUGAUAUUAAGAUUAUCAGAAGCAUCAGCAUUUAAACUGUAGCUUGAUGUGAAAUAACAUAAAUGAAUAGUUAUAUUAUCACUUGUUUCAUGUUGAAGUAGAUAGAAUGCUUUAAGCGUUAUCUUCAAAAUGUCGUAAGAUAUAUUGAUUUUAAUACUUUAUAGAUGUGCUUUAAUUGUUGAAAAAUCUUGCCAGUGUGAUGAGUUAAUGGCUGCUAAAUUGACUACUGUAUUAUGUUUAUAAGCUGCCUUUAACUUUCAUUGUCUGAACAGUCUUGGGAUUACUGUCUGUUUCUGCCAUCAUGAUGUUAUAUUCUUCCCUAUUGACUCUAACAGCAGUUGCUUCAUGAACUAUGUUUAUCAUUUACAUUAGUGUUUCUGUUCAAGCUUUCAUGUCACUAUUUAGACGAGUAAUACACUCCAUAAAACAUCACUUUUACAAAUGUU